UACGUAGGGGGCAAGCGUUGUCCGGAAUCAUUGGGCGUAAAGCGCGUGUAGGCGGCUGAGUAAGUCUGCUCUGAAAGCCCGGGGCUCAACCCCGGGAGGCGGGUGGAUACUGCUCAGCUCGAGUCCGGAAGAGGAGUGUGGAAUUCCUGGUGUAGCGGUGAAAUGCGCAGAUAUCAGGAGGAACACCAAUGGCGAAGGCAGGUCUCUGGGCCACUACUGACGCUGAGAAGCGAAAGCAUGGGGAGCGAACAGG
rnacentral:rRNA from 1 species